GGAAUUUUGGACAAUGGGGGAAACCCUGAUCCAGCCAUGCCGCGUGCGGGAAGAAGGCCUUCGGGUUGUAAACCGCUUUUGGCAGGAACGAAACAGUACGAGCUAAUACUUCGUACGAAUGACGGUACCUGCAGAAUAAGCACCGGCUAACUACGUGCCAGCAGCCGCGGUAAUACGUAGGGUGCAAGCGUUAAUCGGAAUUACUGGGCGUAAAGCGUGCGCAGGCGGCUUUAUAAGACAGGCGUGAAAUCCCCGGGCUUAACCUGGGAACUGCGCUUGUGACUGUAAGGCUAGAGUUUGUCAGAGGGGGGUGGAAUUCCACGUGUAGCAGUGAAAUGCGUAGAGAUGUGGAGGAACACCGAUGGCGAAGGCAGCCCCCUGGGAUAAAACUGACGCUCAUGCACGAAAGCGUGGGGAGCAAACA
rnacentral:rRNA from 1 species